UUGGUCCCAAUCGGUCGGCCUUGCCUCUCAUUGCAAUGAACUUUGUUGUGACUGUCACUGGUGCCCAUAGCAUUCAGUUUCAGGAGUCGUGUGGAUGCAACAUUUGGUGCAUUGGCCGGGAAAGUUAAAGUUCUGAAACAGGGCCCUUUCCCUGGAUUGCUCUGCCGACCCCUGGGAGGAAGCUCGGGAUUGGGAGAGGCACGAACACCAAAUCCCAUACAUUGGGGCACGGAGAACCCUCAUCGAAAAACCUCCAGCUUGGUUAAAACUUCUUCCCCUUCCCCCUCGCCUCCCUAAAGUACAGGCUUUGCCACUCAAAGGUCGCCCAUCUGGAGCUCAGAAUAAGAAUCUUGACGAGACUAAGCGGCCGCCCCCUCUAUCACCUGCACAGGAGGGGGUAAAAAAAAAAAAAAAGGAACUUACCACCCACCGCCC